rnacentral:rRNA from 1 species
AGGCGACGACGGGUAGCCGGCCUGAGAGGGCGACCGGCCACACUGGGACUGAGACACGGCCCAGACUCCUACGGGAGGCAGCAGUGGGGAAUAUUGCACAAUGGGCGCAAGCCUGAUGCAGCGACGCCGCGUGAGGGAUGACGGCCUUCGGGUUGUAAACCUCUUUCAGCAGGGACGAAGCGUGAGUGACGGUACCUGCAGAAGAAGCACCGGCCAACUACGUGCCAGCAGCCGCGGUAAUACGUAGGGUGCAAGCGUUGUCCGGAAUUACUGGGCGUAAAGAGCUCGUAGGCGGUUUGUCGCGUCGGCUGUGAAAACCAGCAGCUCAACUGUUGGCUUGCAGGCGAUACGGGCAGACUUGAGUAUUUCAGGGGAGACUGGAAUUCCUGGUGUAGCGGUGAAAUGCGCAGAUAUCAGGAGGAACACCGGUGGCGAAGGCGGGUCUCUGGGAARUAACUGACGCUGAGGAGCGAAAGCGUGGGKAGCGAACAGGAUUAGAUACCCUGGUAGUCCACGCCGUAAACGGUGGGCGCUAGGUGUGGGKUUCCUUCCACGGGAUCCGUGCCGUAGCUAACGCAUUAAGCGCCCCGCCUGGGGGAGUACGG